CCUUUGCAUGGAGCCUUGUUCUGAGAGUAACUGAAUGAGAACGAGGCGCUGCGCAAAGGA
ensembl:miRNA mdo-mir-12297e-3 mdo-mir-12297e-3